rnacentral:rRNA from 1 species
GGCAUGCCUAACACAUGCAAGUCGAACGGAGUUGUUAUUCAGAAGUUCUUCGGGAUGGAAGGAUAAGAACUUAGUGGCGGACGGGUGAGUAACGCGUGGGUAACCUGCCCUUUUGUGGGGAACAACUUCGAGAAAUCGGAGCUAAUACCGCAUAAUAAUAGAGGAUCGCAUGAUUCUUUAAGGAAAGAUGGCCUCUGAAGAUGCUAUCGCAAAAGGAUGGACCCGCGUCUGAUUAGCUAGUUGGAAGGGUAACGGCCUACCAAGGCAACGAUCAGUAGCCGGCCUGAGAGGGUGAACGGCCACAUUGGGACUGAGACACGGCCCAAACUCCUACGGGAGGCAGCAGUGGGGAAUCUUCCGCAAUGGGCGAAAGCCUGACGGAGCAAUGCCGCGUGAGUGAAGAAGGCCUUCGGGUUGUAAAACUCUGUCCUUAUCGAAGAGAGGUAGGUAUGUGAAUAAUGUACCUAUAGGACGGUAGAUAAGGAGGAAGCCCCGGCUAACUACGUGCCAGCAGCCGCGGUAAUACGUAGGGGGCGAGCGUUGUCCGGAAUCACUGGGCGUAAAGGGCGCGUAGGCGGUUUAAUAAGUCAGUGGUGAAAACUGAGGGCUCAACCCUCAGCCUGCCACUGAUACUGUUAGACUUGAGUAUGGAAGAGGAGAAUGGAAUUCCUAGUGUAGCGGUGAAAUGCGUAGAUAUUAGGAGGAACACCAGUGGCGAAGGCGAUUCUCUGGGCCAAGACUGACGCUGAGGCGCGAAAGCGUGGGGAGCAAACAGGAUUAGAUACCCUGGUAGUCCACGCCGUAAACGAUGGAUACUAGGUGUUAGUAGUUUCGAUGCUACUAGUGCCGGAGUAAACACAAUAAGUAUCCCGCCUGGGGAGUACGGUCGCAAGACUGAAACUCAAAGGAAUUGACGGGGGCCCGCACAAGCGGUGGAGCAUGUGGUUUAAUUCGACGCAACGCGAAGAACCUUACCAAGACUUGACAUCCUCCUGACAAGAUAUGUAAUGUAUCUCUUUUCUUCGGAGACAGGAGAGACAGGUGGUGCAUGGUUGUCGUCAGCUCGUGUCGUGAGAUGUUGGGUUAAGUCCCGCAACGAGCGCAACCCUUAUUUCUAGUUGCCAGCAGUAAGAUGGGGACUCUAGAGAGACUGCCAGUGACAAACUGGAGGAAGGUGGGGAUGACGUCAAAUCAUCAUGCCCCUUAUGUCUUGGGCUACACACGUGCUACAAUGGUCAGAACAGAGGGAAGCGAAGCCGCGAGGUGGAGCAAAUCCCAGAAAACUGAUCUCAGUUCGGAUUGCAGGCUGCAACCCGCCUGCAUGAAGUCGGAAUCGCUAGUAAUCGAGGGUCAGCA